rnacentral:rRNA from 1 species
GACGAACGCUGGCGGCGUGCUUAACACAUGCAAGUCGAACGAAGAGCGAUGGAAGCUUGCUUCUAUCAAUCUUAGUGGCGAACGGGUGAGUAACGCGUAAUCAACCUGCCCUUCAGAGGGGGACAACAGUUGGAAACGACUGCUAAUACCGCAUACGAUCUAAUCUCGGCAUCGAGGAUAGAUGAAAGGUGGCCUCUACAUGUAAGCUAUCACUGAAGGAGGGGAUUGCGUCUGAUUAGCUAGUUGGAGGGGUAACGGCCCACCAAGGCGAUGAUCAGUAGCCGGUCUGAGAGGAUGAACGGCCACAGUGGGACUGAGACACGGCCCAGACUCCUACGGGAGGCAGCAGUGGGGAAUCUUCCGCAAUGGACGAAAGUCUGACGGAGCAACGCCGCGUGAGUGAUGACGGCCUUCGGGUUGUAAAGCUCUGUUAAUCGGGACGAAAGGCCUUCUUGCGAAUAGGGAGAAGGAUUGACGGUACCGGAAUAGAAAGCCACGGCUAACUACGUG